AUUCCUUUGCCAUCAAAUAUACACACGCUCACACACACUUGUUUACAACUGUCAAAAGUGUCAAGAUAUAUAAACAAGAAACAUAACCUCAAAUUCUUCAAAAAUUCGAUUAUUCUAUUUAGCGUCUAGGAAAUUACCACCAGAAAACGAUGGAAUAUAGGGAAUGCUUCAUUCCGACCUGUAAAAAUGACUCAAAAAAUAGUCCAGAUAAAAUUUUUGUUCGUAUUCGGGAAGACUUGAAAGAAAAAUGGUGUCGUGAAGCUAAGGCGGAGUGUUUUAAAAUUUACAGAAUGUAUUGCUGCGAAGAUCAUUUGGAGGGAAGAUUUGAUUAAUUAUUACCAAUGCAAGUUAUUGAACGAAGAACCUAAACUAAAACGUUCGGCUUUGUUGCGCAAUAUUGGUCAAGAUACGAAUGAAGACCUAUCAGAACUAAAUAAGUUAUUGUUACAACCUCCAAGUACCAGCCAGCCAUUGAAAAGGAAACGUGAUGAUUUUGAUAAAUCAAAAUCCAGCACUAGUCUUAACAAAAGUAAGCUGUUUAAAAGGAUUGAGGAUAUAGCUAUGCCCAGUACAUCCACAUGUUCUACAUUAGCUAUAAAUAUCAAUGCUGCUACUCAGUGUGAAAUAAAGAUGGUUGACAAGAGUACAAACUAUAAAACUAGGAAACAGCCUGCAAAUAUUACUACCACUGACAUACUGCAAUCUUCACAAGAGACAUCUUCGGCAGCAACCCCAUCUUUAUUUGGUUGUACAUCAGAAACUGAAGAAUCUAGUGUAUGUGAUGCAAGAAGAGUGGUGUCCAAAACUAAGAAGAUUAUGUUAGACUUAGUAAUAAAUAAACCAAGGAUGUAUUUGGGGUUACCAAAACAAUAUAUAUGGCUUAUUGAUCAUAUAGUAGAAAAAAGUACAGCAAAAAUAGACAAUCUACACAUUAUUGUUAGUUUAUUGAAAAUAAAGCAAAAUGACUCACUGGAACGUAUAAGUGAUCAAUUUAAUAUAUCUCGUACCAAGCUGUCCUCAAUGAUAUUAACUGGUAUUGAAGUAUUAGGUAACUUCUUUCAAAAUUUUGUUUAUUGUCCCCAACCCAAACAAAUAAAAGAGAAUCUACCGUUGGUAUUUAAAAUAAGAUAUUCUGAUGUCCAAAUGAUCAUUGAUUGUUUUGAGAUAUAAAUCUCAAAACCAUCUAACCCUUUGAAACAAUCUCAGACAUGGUCGCAGUACAAAAGUUGUAAUACUGUUAAAUACCUAAUAGGUUGCACUCCAAAUGGCUUUAUAAGCUUUAUUUCAAAAGGUUAUGGGGGAAGAAUAUCUGAUAAAGCGAUUGUAGCAAAAAGUGAUUUAAUAAAUGUUUUAAAGCCUAAUGCCGUUAUUUUAGCUGACAGGGGAUUUAAAGAAAUAGAAACUCAAUUAAAUGCGCGGAAUAUAAAACUUUUGAGGCCACCUAGUGUUUAUACAGGCACCAAACAAACUACUCGUGAGGCACUUCAGAGUAAAGUAAUUGCAAGUUUGCGUGUUCACAUUGAGAGAGUUAUUAGGCGAGUAAGAGAGUAUACUCUACUGAAACCUCAUUCAGUUGUUAAUUAUAAAUAUGUACCUUACUUGGAUGAAAUAGUGUUAAUCGUUUGUGGUUUAAUUAAUUUGCAAGGAGAAAUAAUAAAAAGUUAUUAA